CUACCUUAUUUAUUUGAAAUAGCCAAAAUCUUAUCAGCAUAUCUGAUACGAGUCUUAUUUGAACCCAAGAUAUGAAUCGUAUGGUUGUCAUGCGGUGAAGUCCUUGAAGCUCGCUUCACCUAUGCCACGUGUUGGCUCGGUAUUGCACUGCCUCUGGGAUCGGCCCAUGGUGA
rnacentral:snRNA from 1 species